rnacentral:rRNA from 1 species
AUGACUAAUUUGUAUGAGUUGCGUAGUAGAUUGGAAAAACAUCAAACUAUUGAUAAAGCUGCUCAACGACAACUUGAGAAAGAGAUGGACCAUUGGAGAAAGGUAUUAUUCAGAAUUGUUUGCAUUGUAAAAUUUCUUGCAAAGCAUAAUCUAGCAUUCCGUGGUACUAAUGGCAAGCUGUAUGAAGAUAGCAAUGGUAAUUUCUUGGGUUUGGUAGAGAUGUUGGCUGAAUUUGACCCUGUUAUUCAGGAGCAUGUUCGUCGUAUUACAAAUGAAGAAACUCAUGCUCAUUAUCUUGAUCAUAAGAUUCAGAAUGAAUUGCUACACUUGCUUGCUUCUUCUAUUAGGUAUGAAAUUAUCAAGAAAAUAAAGAGCUCAAAGUAUUUCUCUGUCAUACUUGAUUGUACCCCUGAUGCAAUUCACCAAGAGCAAAUGUCUUUAAUUAUAAGAUAUGUGGAUUCAUCUUCAAGUCAAGUUUGCGUAGAAGAGUCCUUUCUAGAAUUUCUAGAUGUAGAUGAUACAACCGGCCAAGGACUUUUCGAUGUGCUAGAGAAGGAGCUAAAACUUCUUGAUCUUGAUAUAAAUGAUGUGCGAGGACAAGGUUAUGAUAAUGGAUCAAAUAUGAAAGGAAUGCAUCAAGGGGUACAAAGGAAACUUUUGGAUAUAAAUCCUAGAGCUUUUUAUUCAGCUUGUGGUUGUCAUAGCCUUAAUUUAACACUUUGUGAUAUGGCCAAGACUUGUGGUAGAGCAAAGGACUUUUUUGAAAUCAUCCAACGCAUCUAUACAAUUUUUUCCAAUUCUACUAAGAAAUGGCAUAUUUUGAAAGAAAACGUAUCAGGAUUGACUCUCAAGUCUGUGUCCGCUACGCGUUGGGAGAGUCGUGUUGAAAGUGUUAAAGCUAUCAGAUUUCAAUGUUCAGACAUUCGGGAGGCUCUACUUCAGGUAUCUGAAACUGAUAGUGAUCCAAAGGCAAGCAGUGAGGCUCUAGGUUUGCCAAAUAAUGAACUUGGAGAGUAUGAAUUUAUCGUGGCAAUAGUCAUUUGGUAUGAGGUAUUGCUUGCUGUUAAUUUAGUAAGCAAAAACUUGCAAACAAAGGAUAUGCUUAUUGAUGUUGCUAUUGAGAAAGUGAAAGGGCUAAUUUCUUUCUUCGAGGGGUAUAGCAAAACUGGUUUCUUAGAAGCAUUGGAGAUAGCCAAAGAAAUUGCACUUGAGAUGGAUAUUGGUGCAACAUUUCGUAAAAGGAGAGAGAUUAAAAGAAAGAAAUAG